rnacentral:rRNA from 1 species
UACGGGGGGGGCAAGCGUUGUUCGGAAUUACUGGGUGUAAAGGGCUCGUAGGCGGCCAACUAAGUCUGACGUGAAAUCCCCCGGCUUAACUGGGGAACUGCGUCAGGUACUGGUUGGCUUGAGUUCGGGAGAGGGACGUGGAAUUCCAGGUGUAGCGGUGAAAUGCGUAGAUAUCUGGAGGAACACCGGUGGCGAAGGCGGCGUCCUGGACCGACACUGACGCUGAGGAGCGAAAGCCAGGGGAGCAAACGGG